ensembl:lncRNA
ACAGCGUCAUGGCGUUUUGUCGGCAAAGAUGGAAUAUUUCAACUUUCGCGUUUGCUGCGUUUGACGCGACUUUGCCCAAACUCGACGUGCUGAAUUCACCCACCAACGCAGUAAAACUUUGGUUACUCCCGACAAAAUCUCCCUCCUUUCUACACACACACAACUACACACGCUGCUGCAUUCAAACAAACACUCAUGUCUUUCUGUGUGAGAAAUAACAACUUCUCCUCACAGAAGAUACAUUCUGGUCUCUUUCUUCACAAGCCGAGUGAUUACUUCCUUCUGUGCUUUGGUUUCUGUUUUAUGAUACUUGCACAGACAGACACACAAAUACACACACCUGAGGGGCGAAUCAAUGAGCAACAUGAUGUGUAAUUGGGGACUUUUUUCUCCCUCUGCAAAGCAGACUGAUUUGUUUUAAUUUAAUUUGGACUCUUUACGCUGAGAUAACAUUAAUGAAGUUUUUCUUCUUAACUUUAAACCACGGCGCUUCUGUCCCUGCUUUAUGUAGAGAUCUAUGAGCCAGGACUACCUGUCUGUCUGUCUGUCUCCCUUUCAGUCUCCCUGUUUCGGUCUACAUGUCUACCUAUCUGUUUACCUGUCUGUCGACCUACCCCCCUGUCACGGUUCAUGAAUCCAGCGCCCCCCCUUUUUUGGGGUUUUUGUUUUUUUAUGUGGGGGGGGGGGGGGGGUGAAGUGGGCGGAGUCAGCAGCCCAGCAUAAUCAACAGGGCAGCUGAUCACACUUUGCUGUAGCUGGUUUCGCUAUAAGACUCUCACGUGUCCCUCCUCUCACUGUCAGAUCGUUAUUUGAUGUCUCCCGUGUUCCUGGUCGCCGGAUCUCUGCCUCUGGGCUCAUCGUCAUCAUCGUCAUCAUCAUCAUCCUCCUCCUCCUCCCCGGGCUACGGGCUGACCACCCCGUCCAUGCGCCACCCACCACCAGGAGGAUCUCGGGCGCUUGGGGACUGCAAUUAUUGACUCUGACAUAAUAAACUCUGUUUUCACUCUCAUAUCUGCGUCCGCAUCUUUAGGAUCAUGACACUACCUGUAUGUCUACUUUUUAGUUUACCAGUCCACCUGUCUGUUUACCUGUCUCCCUGUAUGUCUACCUGUCCCACUACCAGUCCACCUGUCUGUUUACCUGUCUCCCUGUAUGUCUACCUGUCCCACUACCAGUCCACCUGUCUGUUUACCUGUCUCCCUGUAUGUCUACCUGUCCCACUACCAGUCCACCUGUCUGUUUACCUGUCUCCCUGUAUGUCUACCUGUCCCACUACCAGUCUACCUGUUGGUCUAUCCCACUUUCGGUUUACCGGUCUGCCUGUCUGCCUGUCUACUUUGUCAGUUAAGGGUAGUUUGAUUCAUGUCUGGUGGGGGUUGUUUUCUGUUCUUUUAACCACUUAAAGUGCUUUAAUAUGACAUGUUAUUAUUCACUCAUAAAGAUAUACAAACUAGAUUUAUGUAAACGUGUGCAACCUCUAAAAGAUAUAUGUAAAGAUUGAUAUAAUAGAAGGGCGAUAAGGCAGAUCAAAUCAAGAAGGGGCAGGCGGGGAAUCCGUGGUCAAAAGACAGGCGAGGUCAUAACAAAAGUAUAUUGAGCUCACUGGGAGAACGCUGGAUAACUUGGAAAACACACAGAAUCUGGUAGGGAAUCUGUGAGGGAAUCUGGUAGGAAACUGGCGAGUGGCUGAUGAGUGGAUGUGCUGCAGGUGAGAACCAGGUGUGCGUAAUGAGCUCAUAAUGUGGGAUGAUCUGAAAUGACAAGAGUAAGAAAACAUGCAGGUAAGAUGAAAAAAAAGUGCGAUCAACUUUGUGACAUAACGACAUACAACCUUACCGAUAUAUAACCUUUGUAGGUAUACAUAUGACAUUUGUAGGUAUAAAGAUAUAUAACCUCUAUAGAUAUACAGAUAUAUAACCUCUGUAGAUUUAAGCAAUAAGUUGCCUUUAUAAUACGGUACCAGCGAAAUUAUAAAUAUUAAGUAAAUAGUUGCCUUUUAGCACAAAAUAGUUGUAGCCACCAAACAUUGUGUAUCUCAUUUCAGUAGUCUACAGAAAAAUACUCCCUGUACGUGCAUGUAAACCGCAUUGGGUUCAUUCGAUGACGUCCACCUUAAUUGUCCGGUUGCAAAAGUUCGCAUUGCCUGAAACUGAUCAUUUGUGGGACUUUUUUCGGUCUUUUUUCUGCGAUCGGCACCGAGCUAAAAGCUAAAAUGUCAAUCAGUCGCGCGAAAGCUAACCUGUUACUUUGAGUGCGCAGUGAUGUGGAACGUUCGGUCAAUGUGAACAGGUACUGUACAUUAUCGCCCAAUUAUAGAGCCCCCAUGACUCACUCUCAACCAAUCAGAACACUGGAUUGCAUCUACCCGUGUUAUAGUAUACAGAUAUAUAACCUCUAUACAUAUAAAGAUAGGAAUAUUUUUUUAUACAAUAUAAUGCUAAAGGGAACAUUGCUGACUGAAAACAUGAAUCCUCAAAAGAACAUGAGCUGUUUUUGUUCUGCAACCAAAAGAAUUACACAUGAAACAAUUAAACCUGUUUCCUUUCAUCUGUGAAUGGUGAGGUCGAAAGGGCCUGGGGUGCGUCUGUUUGUGUGUAUGUAAAAGGGGGGGGGGCGGGGGUGUGUGUGUGCGCGCGGGGUGCGUGCAUGGGUGCGUGUGUGUGUGUGUAUGUGUGCGCGCGGGGUGCAUGCGUGUGUGUGUGCGCGCGGGGUGCGUGCAUGGGUGCGUGUGUGUGUGUGUGUGUGCGUGUGUGUGUGUGCGGGGUGGUGUGUGUGUGUGCGUGUGUGUGUGGGUGCGUGCGGGGUGGUGUGUGUGUGUGCGUGUGUGUGUGGGUGCGUGCAUGGGUGCGUGUGUGUGUGUGCGCGGGGGGUGUGCAUGUGUGUGCGUGUGUGCGUGCGUGUGUGUGCGCGGGGGGUGUGCAUGUGUGUGUGUGUGUGCGUGUGUGCGUGUGCGUGUGCGUGUGUGUGUGUGUGUGUGUGUGUGCGCGGGGUGCGUGUGUGAUUGAGCGAGCUUUAGUAAUAUACAAUUGAAUACCCUGACACCCGAUGGUCUUCAUCCUGAGGGCACAUCCUCCUCUCUCAAGAACGCUCUGUCUUCAUCACAGUCUGGUGAACAUCUUGUUGUUUUUGUCACAGUUUUCAGGACAUCCUGUUGUUGUAAUUACAGUCUUUUUGACAUCAUUUUGUCUUGUUAUGUCUGGCAGGAGGAAGCUGAAAACAGAAGAGUACAUCAUAAUGGUCCUCCUUUGAGUAAAUGUAAUUCAAUCCGGAGAGACUUGUUGAAAUUUGAAUAAUGCUUUAUUAUAACAGGUAUAAUAUGAUAUUGCAAGUUGUUUGGGGCUUGGACUCCAUCCUGCCGCAGAAUAGAGCCGGGGCCGGGAUCUCGAGCCGAGACGAGGCACAUCCCCCCCUUGGGAGUCCAGACACUGGUGGUGGUGGUAGAGCCCACGUUGCAUAAUUCUCCUGCUACGCCAGGUUCUGCUGUAGACUGGAGGUGUCCGGGGUGGUGGCGGGUGACCUUUGCCGGUGGUGGCGGGUCACCUUUGGGGGUGGUGGCGGGUCACCUUUGGCGGUGGUGACGGGUCACCUUUGGGGGUGGUGGCGGGUCACCUUUGGGGGUGGUGGCGGCUUCACCUUUGGGGGUGGUGGCGGGUCACCUUUGGCGGUGGUGACGGGUCACCUUUGGGGGUGGUGGCGGGUCACCUUUGGCGGUGGUGGCGGGUCACCUUUGGGGGUGGUGGCGGGUCACCUUUGGAGCGAGCUGAAAUGACAACUGACGGCACAAGAGAGGAGAACCGUUUUUUCGCCUAAGCUUCAUUUAGUUGCUUUCCCACUCUGUGCUUUACUGCUUUUAGUGACAGGUGUUUGUUAGAGUUUCCAGAUGCUUCUCCAGUACGGAGGUCCAGCUGUAAGAGAAGCAACGCUCUACUUCAUUAAAAAAAGACUCAAAUAAGGAAGAAGGAACAGAAGAGAGUUACCUGUGAAGACUCAGAUGUGACGAGAGAGGAAGAGGACGAUGAUGAGGAAGUCAUCUUCAGUCUCCAGAGUGACUUCAGCAGGAGCUUUCAACUCCUCGGGUGUCCUACAAAAGUGAGAUUAUUGUGACCUUCAGUAUUCACAACUGGAGAUCAAGUUGUCCAUGACAAACGUCUGUGGGUAAGAGCUAUUUAUAUCAUAGAAUCUUCCAACCCUUCAGAAGAACAAAGGAUCUCCUCCUGUUCUGCUUCAAACACAAAUAGAGAACAAAGAUCGGCAAACUUGGAUGUGUAUUCAUAAACACAGCAUUAAAAUAUAUUAACAUCACUUUGUUCUCGCUGUACUUUUCGGAGUCCCUCGGCUCCUUUAAAUCUAGAUUAAAGACUUCUGUUGGAUGCUGCUUUUAAUUUACUGUGUUUAGUAUUUUGGUACUUUUAAACUACACUGCAGAAUUUAUUCUAUUUUUAGUUUUUUAACGUUGUUUUUUGAAUGACUUUUUCUUUCAUGUUUCAAUCAUCGGACCAAGGACUCAUCUCUUUUCUUGUCUUACUGGACCUCAGUGCCACAUUUGACACAAUUGAUCGUUGUAUCCUGUUGCAGAGACUAGAACAUUUGACUGGUAUUAAACAAACCGCCCUCAGCUGGUUUUAGUCGUAUUUAUUGGAUCGAUCCAGUUGGUGUUUGUAAAUGGUCGAUCAGCGAUGACCACCAAUGUUGGUCACAGAGUCCCAGAAGGUUCUGGGCUUGGACCGAUUUAGUUUACCCUCUAUUUGCUUCCUUUGCUACCUUUGACCCGCUGACACAGGUGGGCGUGGCAGUCAGGAACACUUCUAUCAUGUUUACCUGCUUCUUUGCAUUCACUUUAGUUUUAAUCUUGCUUUAAACUUCUCUUCCCUUUAAGACGAGCCUAGAAACUAAAUGUAAAAUAACGUGAUGGGACAAAAAUGUGUAACAGUCUACUGAGCACGUAGCUGUUGUGACCCUUGUCUCCUAGCAAGGAAAUAAAUGGAGAAAGACAUUUGAUUCAGAAAUUAAUUAAUGUUAAUGUGUUAAUAAAAUGUUAAUAAAAUGUUACCCACAGAGAUUUUCCGAUUGUCUGUGCAAAUCUUCCAUCACAAACCAUGGUGAUGAACACAAUGUCAUGUAAUUGCAUGUAUUAUACAUUGUUCUGUACACAUGGCAUCCAUUGUAGUCUGUCCAUCAGGAGACGGAUCCCUCCUCUGACCUUCUCACUAAGGUUUCUACCCUUUUUUUCCCUCUUGGAAGGUUUUUUCAUUGUUUGGGGAGUUGUUCCUGUGCCGAUGGAGGGUUUCUGGACAGAGGAUGUUGUAUGUGUACAGACUGUAAAGCCCUCUGAGGCAAAUUUGUAAUUUGCGAUUUUGGUCUAUACAAAAUAAAAUUAAUUGAAUUAAAUGAAUUAAACGUCAAAGUUAUAAACACAAUAUCUUUGCUCUUUUCACAGGAGAUUGCCGGGUUUUCAAGAGAGUUAUUCGCCAUAUUUUAUAUCUGAUUAUUGACCAGUUUGCCAGUCUUCUUGUCCCUUGUUUGAGCACUCUGAGGUGAGUAAAAGAUUCAUUAGCUGCCGCGUUUAAACCAAAAGACCCCCUCUCGUGCGCUCAUAUUUACCAGCUGAAGGGCCAACCACGAAGGCAGCGUUUGUUGACUGAAGGAUGAACGUGAAUGUGAGUCUGUGAUUGUCUUUGUGUCCUCAGCUGAAGAGUUGCUCUGUAAUUUGUUUGCCUGCUGAAGAGUGUCAGCUGAAGUCUGGCGUCUUUAAAAGCUCAGCCUGACAAGUAAAUGGAUGAAAAUUGCCAGAGAAGAAGCUUGUUUGGGAUUUUGUUUUGAUUUCCCGCAGAAUGACAUUCCUUUUAGGAAAUGGCAGAGUGAUAAAUGAUUGUGGAUUCUGUUGGGUUGGGGCGACCCUGAUUUAGACCUGGGGUAUCUUUCUCUUUGCCGUAAUGUCCCCCAUUUACCCCUCACCGGAUGCACAAAUGGAUGUCGAUAUUCUUUGUGCCAUCAAAAGUCCAAACUUGUGCGCAAAUACCGUCCUGACUUUAUUAAGUACGGCUUCGUAAACGGAGGUAAUGAGGCGGAGCCGAGAGCCCAGUGUGUGGAGUGUGGACUAACGCUCUCCAACAAAGCAUUGAAGCCGUCAAAAUGAAUGUGCCACUUUGAAAGCAAACAUCCAACGCUUGUGGGAGUUCUGGUUCACAGCCAGGGCUGGCUCAGGUUCACAGUCAGGGCUGGCUCAGGUUCACAGUUAGGGCUGGCUCAGGUUCACAGUCAGGGCUGGCUCAGGUUCACAGUCAGGGCUGGCUGAGGUUCACAGUCAGGGCUGGCUCAAGUUCACAGUCAGGGCUGGCUCAAGUUCACAGUCAGGGCUGGCUCAAGUUCACAGUCAGGUCUCGCUGAGGUUCUCAGUCAGGGCUGGCUCAGGUUCACAGUCAGGUCUGGCUGAGGUUCUCAGUCAGGGCUGGCUCAAGUUCACAGUCAGGGCUGGCUGAGGUUCACAGUCAGGGCUGGCUCAGGUUCACAGUCAGGGCUGCCUCAGAUUCACAGUCAGGGCUGGCUGAGGUUCACAGUCAGGGCUGGCUCAGGUUCACAGUCAGGGCUGGCUCAGGUUCACAGUCAGGGCUGGCUGAGGUUCUCAGUCAGGGCUGGCUCAGGUUCACAGUCAGGUCUGGCUGAGGCUCUCAGUCAGGGCUGGCUCAGGUUCACAGUUGGCUCAGAUUUCUGCUGUUGUCUGCUUAGUAGUAGUGAACAGUCAGCUUGUUCUCUGACCACGUUGAUUUUUUUUAACCUUACUCAAACGCCUUCUCGUGAAGUGAAUAUUUUCUUCAUGCACGUCAUGUUCUGUUUACAGUAAAAUGAUCUGAUAGAUUAAAGUCUGAUGGUAAAAAGAUAAAGUAAUAAUCAUCUUAUAAUACAGAGGGAACAUUCUCCUUUAGUCACAGCUUCCCCUGGAGUAUCCGGUGGAUGUUCCUCCAAACAUGUUUAUUCAUAAGAGCCAGAUAUGUAUUUAUAUGCAUUUAUUUAGUGGACUGAAGCCAUAUUGGCAGAGCUCCCCAUUUCAAAGCUGUUUUGAUCACAUUUCUGUGUAAAUACUGAGAUUCAGCCUCUAUACGUGCUCAAGAAGAAAAAAUUACAGAAAUAUAAGUGUGUGUGUGUGUGUGUGGGCGAGCGAGCAACACUUUGUUUUGUCAUGUCGAGGGCUCUGCCUGAGAAGGAAAUUGGAAACAGCAUUCUUCUUUCAUCUCUCUGCCUCCCCACCAACUCAAACACACACACAUUCCCUCAAAAAUCACACAUCUUUUCCUCCAGCUAGUUGAUCCCACCUGAAAGCUCUCUGAUGCAAACACGUGAACCUCUGAACACACUGAUGAAUCCUGAAGCAGGCAGCAGAGGUGUGUGUGUGUGUGUGUGUGUGUGUGUGUGUGUGUGUGUCUCCUCCGUUCAUAAAAGCAGAUCUUGAGGUGAUAGAAAACAAACAAUGAAGACGUCUGAAAUGAAAGCAGGAAAACAAAAGAGGAUUUAAGAGAAUCUGAGUCUGCAGCUUUUAAUUCUUUUCUCUCUGGGUCACACACACACACACUUUCACUUUGAUGUAAUGAAAACUUGUUAGAAGACGUACUGUUUUACGUAACUACAUUAAAGCUGUUUAAACUUUACAGCCUUCGUGGACUUUUUAGAGGCAGUUUGAAUCACGUCGUUAUCGUGAAAACAUGUUUUUGAAGACACUACAACUUGUGUCUGCCUGGUUGGCACUUUCUGCUUUGCCCUCUGACCUUUCACUCCUCAACCAGUGACUCCCUACAUGAGAACUGGGAAAAUCGUUUUCGAUUAUCACUUAUUGUGUUACAUGUGUUCAAUGACACACUCUCUCUCUGAGUGGCGCUGAGAGCGAUGACGUUUUGCAGCUGGUCGGCGUGCUAAACGCCGCCAUGGACCCGGAGGUCCAGAGAAGACCUCCACUGGUCACAACUGAGACGGCAGGAAGGACAACCGAGGACAGUGGGGGUCCAGCAGGGGGUGAAAAAGGGACAGGUCGAGUCCAGGAGAGUGUGGUGAGUGAAUGCAGAGUCCAGCUGGUGGAGAGAGGGACUCUCAUUAUGUAUUGAUUCAUAUGCUCCUCGGUAUGUAUUGAUCUGCUGCCGCCUCACUGACAACAAAUUGGUUGUGAAAGUGAAAGUGAAAGAGGAAAAGGUCAAAUUGCUCUGUUUGUAAAAGGUCAAAGCUCACCUGUGACUGUUACACCUCCAGUUAGAGUAUCAGACUGAAGAAGUGCGCCCGAGAACAAUUGAAGGACCAUAAACUACAACAGAUUUACAGCGCCUUGCAUAAGUCAUUUCAUUGGGAUUUUAUGUAAUGGACCAACACAAAACAGUCCACCAUAUGGAUUUUACUAACAAACCCUGACAAAGAUCUGGGUCAACCAAUUGCCCUCACAGGUUUUCAAGUCACAUAAUUAUUAGAUUUGGUGCAACGUCUCAGGAUAAAUACACUACUGUAUUAGUGUGAUGCAUUACUGUGUAGUGUAGUCGGACAUGUAGUCCGACAGGAAGUCACCAUGUUCAUGUAGUCCGACAGGAAGUCACCAUGUUCAUGUAGUCCGACAGGAAGUCGCCGUGUUCAUGUAGUCCGACAGGAAGUCGCCGUGUUCAUGUAGUCCGACAGGAAGUCGCCGUGUUCAUGUAGUCCGACAGGAAGUCGCCGUGUUCAUGUAGUCCGACAGGAAGUCACCAUGUUCAUGUAGUCCGACAGGAAGUCACCAUGUUCAUGUAGUCCGACAGGAAGUCGCCAUGUUCAUGUAGUCCGACAGGAAGUCGCCGUGUUCAUGUAGUCCGACAGGAAGUCGCCGUGUUCAUGUAGUCCGACAGGAAGUCGCCGUGUUCAUGUAG